ensembl:lncRNA
GGUGGCGUCUGUAAGGACUGGAGUGUAGAGAGACGAAAGAAGGACGAUAAAGGAUCGCAGCAGGAGUUUGAAGCUGUUAGGAAAAGUGGGUUAAUCACCAGCCUACAAAGGAAUCAGUUUAGUAAUCCAGUUUGUGCUGGACUAGUUAGCUUAGCAUUUCAUUCAAACUUAACCUGGCUAAUCCUCAGCACACUACAAACUUACUUUGGUUCCUUAAGUGUUGCUCAUGCAUUUCUUAUUGAAGAAAUCUUCGACUGUAUAAGUAAUUUUAGACCGUAUUGUUCUGAACAUGUGUAAAGACCUAGAGAUACACAAACUGAAAGGACUCAUGCAAAUUACUUACAGUUUAUAUGUCAGCCUUUAAAGGCCAUACAGGAGGAAUUGUCCUUUUCUUUACAAAUGCAGGGGGGAUGGUGCGGUUGGGCUUGCAAUAAAUUGCUGGAACACAGCCUGAUUUUUUUCUUUGUUUGUUUUUUUUUAACACAAUGCAGUUAGACUUUUUGAACAUAAUGUACAGGAUAAAAUAAGAUCUACUUACGAUCAUAUUAGGAAUUUUUCCCACCAUGCCACCUAUAGGAGUAGGAAUAACGAAUAACGCCCUUGCUUUCUUCCUGUGUUUGUCAGUAUGAGCAUAUUGGACCGUAACUGAAAAGCAAAAUACAAUAAAAGGUCACUGAUUCUUAUCUGACAAAAGGUAGGACUGUAGAUAAACAGAGAAGGUUAAAAAUGUAUAAUAAUCUGGUGUUUAAUGUCAUCAUAAGGCCUGACAUUUACUCCUUGACUCCUGGAUUUCUUUGCCUAUAUUGGCCAGCUGCUGCCUGAUUUUAAAGCACGUGACGGUGUGGUGAUUCAUCCAGAUAGAUCUUACCCGACAACUUAAUACUUAAUAUACUACAAUAUAUACUUAUAGAUGCUAUUAAAAUCAGUGAUUUACAUACAAAUUCUUAUCUAAUCUGCAGUGUGCACAUAUGAAAAUGCUUACUCUCCACUACAUCAGGCAAAGCCCUGUAGUGUUGGAACUGGUAGAAAGACUUGCAUGCACUCUGAGUUGAUCUCCUCCACAUGCAGCAGGUUGAGCACCAU